rnacentral:tRNA from 1 species
AUCUCUAAAGUUUAAAAUACAUUAGAUUGCAAAUCUAAAAAUAAAAGAGAUA